GGGCUGGCUUUAUCUCAGCGGUUCCUUCGACUGUUCUUAGUUGACUUCUUGGGCUGGUCUGGUGUUUGAGACCCGCGGGCGCUCUCUGGUCCUUUU
rnacentral:vault_RNA from 13 species